AUGAGGCUGUUGGCCAGCGGGGUUCGGAUCUGUUCGCAAGUGCUUUUUUUCUGUUUUUCCUCUAAUGGCCUUGACUCGGCUCUCCUUGGCCUCUCUUCCUACGGAGUUUCCCGUCUCACUUGGUUUCUGCUCCCUCUCUAACUUUGUUCACGACACUUCCCUUUUUUGCUAGCCAAUUCUUAGAUCCUUCACCUUCAGGUCGCUUGGAUCAAUUUCCUUUCCCUUUGCGCAGUUGAGGACCUCUUGUCGUGGUCAGGUUAGAUCCAUUUUAUUAUAUUUUAUUUUUUUUUACCUUGAGAAAUUGACAUCUUCUUUUCCUGGCUAGCGCCGUAGGGGACUCACCAGAACCCAUUCUCAAAGUAAGGUGGCUAAACCUGAGCAACCCUCGUAAAUACGCAGGUUUUAUUAUAUUUGAGAUUAAAUAAACAAGUGUAGGUAAUCUCAAAGUGUCAUUUGAAUACUAAGUGUCACAAUCUUUUUGGACAAAAUAUAGUGUGUUCAGUAAAAAGUAGUAGUAAAAAGAUUAAGAAAAACGUGUUGUUGUUGGGUUUUUUUGUUUUGUUUUGUUUGGUAAUUUGUUAAUCCCUAGAAUGAGGUAAGGUGGAAACAUAAAGAUGAUUUCCUGGGAGGAAAAGAACCUAGCAUUAUUUAGUUAUGCUAUUUUAAAGAGCAUUUAGAAAAAGAAUAAUAGAGACUGGAGUGAUGGCUGAGCAGUUAAGAGCACUUUCUGCUCUUGUAGAGGACCUAGGUUCGUUCCUAGCACCCAUAUGGGUGCUCAAGGCUUAACCUGAGUUGUAGCUUAAGUUCAAGGGGAGCCAAACCCUCUUCUGGCUUCGGGAAUGACUGAGCUGUACACACAUACAUGCUAUACACAUAAAAUAAAGUAAAAGAACUACAGUGUGAGCCAGGCAUAGAUGAGAUCUUUUAAUCUGACUUUUUUUUAUAUAUAAUUCUCAACGCAGCUCUAUGAAGUGAUUAUUAUAAUAAUAGGGCUCACAGACUCAGGCAUCAAGUCCAGUGUCAUGCAAUUUUUAUGUAGUAAACCUUGCCUGAGAUCCACCUAUGUGUAAUUAACUUCCUGGUUUUUAGUAAAAACAAAUGAACAGCAGCUGCUUCCCUACCCUGGUAUAAUUACAUGCUUAUGAUUUGCUAAUCCCUUCCUCAAGAUGUCUUGCACCAAGUAACCCAAAUUCUUGUCUGUUGUGGUCAUGCUAAUGCCACAGUCUUCUGGUUGUUUUGGUUGUCACUUAGUUUCUCCACAUCAGGACUAACUUUAGUCCAAAGCUAUGAAGGAGCGUUGACUCACACAUUAUAAUAAUGGCCUCUCUCUUCAUGGCUCCUGAAUGUUGAACCAAAUUUUGUCUGAAUGACAGUUACAUUUCCUUUAAAUUUUGUGGCUCUGAAAAGAAAGUAAAGAACUAUAGAGAAUGGUUAGAUUGAAAGGCAUAGGCAGAGCACCAUGGUACAAAGAGUCUAUAGCUCCAGCUACUUAGGAGCCUCAGGUGAGAGGAUCACAUGAGCCAUGAGGCUGGGACCAAACUGGGCAAGAAGACAGAUUCAGACAGUUUCUGAUCACACUCGCUUUCUCCCCUAUCCCCCAGGCUUGUACAUAUAGAUAGUAGAAAUUAAUGAAUAAAGGUAUGGCUGAAAAAAACACUGAAAAAAAAACAUAAAGGUAGAGAUAAUCCAGUUAUCAAAUACUUUAUCCUUUAUCUUACCUUUUUUUUUUUGCUCAUUUUUUUUUGUUUUUUUUUUAAGAUUUAUUUAAUUACUUAUUUAUUAUAUGUAAGUACACUGUAGCUGUCUUCAGAAACCCCAGAAGAGGGCAUCAGAUCUCAUGGAUGGUUGUGAGCCACCAUGUGGUUGUGGGAUUUGAACUCAGGACCUCUGGAAGAGCAGUCAGUGCUCUUAACCGCUGAGCCAUUCUCCAGCCCCUAUCUUGCCUUUCUUAAGACAAGUCUCUGAAAUAUCUAGUGAUAUCAUUCUGCGAUCUCUGUUUUGGUUUGGGGGGUGGGGUGGGGUGCUUGUUUUUCAAGACUGGAUUUUUCUGUGUAGCCCUAAGUCACUUGGACCUUGAUAUGUAGACUAGGCUGAUCUUGAACUCACAAAUAUCCGCCUGCCUCUGUCUCCUGAGAGCUAGGAUUAAAAGGCAUGCCCCACUGCCUAGCUUCAUUCUGUUAUGUGUUUACCCCAGUUAUUCCCAUAACUUAUUGGCAUGUCAUCACCCAGCUAGAGUCAGGACAGUUUCAAGGUAGAAUUCUAGAUAGCCUUUGUCACUCUCUUGCUAUGAACCUGCUUUUCAUGAACCUCACCUUGCCCUUCCCCCCCACGGGAAUUAUCCAUUCCACCUGCUCAGAACUGUCGCCUGUGGCAUUCCACCCUUUAAAAAAUGCUCUUAACAUACACUGCUUUGCUCUUAAGCACUCCAUGAUCUCAUUAGGAGUUGGAGGAAAUGAAUCUAUUAUCUAAUUAAACUAAUUCAUAGUAGGAUAUGAGUAAUUCUGUGUUUGACCCUUUAGGCAACUAUACAGGAAAAGACAAGCUUAGUGACCUGGUAGAUGAGGGAGGUAAUGUUGGCAUCAACACAUUUAUACUAGGCUGUUUGGUCCCAGUGUAGAAAAUCAAGAACAGCGGCUUGCAAACAAGGAAUUUCUAAGUUGUUCUGACUUAGCACAUAUUUAAGUACCUUUCCCCCACUCUGCCAUAGCACUCUGUUUGAUAUCCCCUCCCCUUUUACCCUGAGGGUCUCAUAUGUAGCCCAGAGUGGCCCAGAACUUGAAAUCUUUCUGCCCCAGCCUCCCAAGUGCUAGUAUUACAGGAGUGCACAUGUUUAACACUUUUGAUGAAGGUCUUUUGUAGACCAAGUAAACAAAUAAUUUUGAAGGCUUUAGGUGGAUCACUGGUAAAUAUUAAGCAUGAUAAAUGUUGACUAGCUACAGAAAAAGCCUCGCUGAAUAUUUACCUUAUCUACUAAGGAUGUUUUGGUUACUUACUUGAUGUGUAUGAGUAAAUACUCAUAUAUACACAUGUAUGCAUGUGUACCACGUGUAGUGUGUAGUUCCUACUACCCUGCCCGGACUCUGAUACUAGCCCUGCCCAGGUUCCCUCAAAUCUGGAGAUGAAAAACACACACACACACAUUAGCUUAUCUUUGAUGUGCUUCAGCUCAAUGACCAGGCUCUUUUAAGCCUUCCUCAGCCAUCACGCCCUUCUUUUCACUCCCAGCUCAGCACCCUAAAUCUGCCCUCAACUCAGUUGGUCUCUAAUCUCCUGCCCAAUCUGGGAAGCCGUCAAUGGCCACUCCAUCCUAGAUCUCUUAUGACUAAUGGCUCUUUCUUCCUCUAAAACAUAGUGAAUCUUUUUUCUUUCUUGAGUCCACUAGCCUGCCUUAGGGAAAACUGGAAGUCCUGCCUAUUUCACCCAGCUCAUUGGGCACAGUAUGUUUAUUGAUUGAUCAAGAACCAUUAGGGGAACAGGAGCUUCAGGGUUCACAUUCGGAUUCCCGAUCAGAGCAUCAGAACCACUCCCUACAACCAUGUGCACACCUGGUACCCUCAGAGGUCCACAGAAAGCACUGGAUUUCCUGGGACUGACGUUAUUUGCUGGCUGUGAGCUAGCACGUGGGUAGUGGGAACCAAGCCAAUCCUCUGAAAUAGCGACUCGUCAAAUUCUCCUAAGCACUGAGCCACCUCUGUGGCCCCAAAUGAGUAUAUACCUUUUUUGAGGCUUUCUGAACUUUUUAAAAAUAGACUCAUUAAUAGUCCUCAGUUAGCCGGGCAGUGGUGGCGCACUCGGGAGGCAGAGGCAGGCGGAUUUCUGAGUUCAAGGCCAGCCUGGUCUACAAAGUGAGUUCCAGGACAGCCAGGGCUACACAGAGAAACCCUGUCUUGAAAAACCAAAAAAAAAAAAAAAAAAAAAAAAGAGCACGGCUGCAGGGGCUUCGCCGACUGCUCUUCCGAAGGUCCCAAGUUCAAAUCCCAGCAACCACAUGGUGGCUCACAACCAUCCGUAACGAGAUCUGAUGCCCUAUUCUGGUGUGUCUGAAGACAGCUACAGUGUACUCAUCAUUCAGAUAUUAAAAUAUUUUUUAAAAAAGACUUACUACUAGACCC
rnacentral:lncRNA from 1 species